AUGGUGCUCGAACACCUUAACCCACACUUUCUGAGUUUUGUAGUGUGGCAAUUGGUAAUACCGCAAAAGUUUAGAACUUCUUGCACCCAUAAGUUUCACCAGCUCAAGAGCAUAUGUAGGUGCUUUAUUAAACACUUAUUCCUUAAAAUGAUUGUAAGUAACUUCUGUAAAUUUACUGAACAAAUACCAGUUUUAGGGAAGAUCCUUCAAAACAAAUUAAGGAUAAGGAAUGGGAAAAGUUUAGAACUUCUUGCACCCAUAAGUUUCACCAGCACUAAUGCUGCAUUAUUGGGUUACAAAUUUGAAGGAAUGAGUGGGUUAUAA
rnacentral:rRNA from 1 species